GGGGCGUUCGUCUAGUGGCCCAGGACACCGCCCUCUCAAGGCGGAGAUCAGGGGUUCAAAUCCCCUACGCCCUACCA
rnacentral:tRNA from 1 species